ACUUUCCCAGUCUAUGGUGAAUUUCUGAUGCAGUUACUAACAAUCCGCAAACGCUCUUGGAAAGAGAGGUUAUAUAUACAUAUACGUAUGUGCGGUUAUUAUGUGGUAUUAAUGGUCUGAAAUCAUCAUGUAAUAAAACUACAACGACACAGUGCUUAACCUAAAAAAAAAAAAUAAUUCAAACUAGUGAAUAGUAGCAUAAUAGAACAUAGGAAAAAUUAAUUAAUAAAGGCAUAUACGUAUUAGGAAAAAUCUUGACGGCCUUGACGGUAACUUAAUGGCAGCUUUAAUGAAAAAACGAGUUUUGGCUGAAUUCACUCAAAACCAGAUUUGCGAGCUUAUGGGAGACCUCUCCCCCAGGUUGAGGGCUUCUGCUACAUUACUGAUGGCCACGAUGAAGGCUGUUACCCAGAGAUACAUUGAACAAGCUCUCGAUAAAAAGCAGAAACGAGUGGAGGACGAUGGCUUGGAAAUGUGGGGCCUUCAUUCACGGUCUUGAGGAUGAAUUUCUCGAAGUGAGGACCGCGGCGGUUGAAGCUCUUUGCACUCUCUCCCUCGAGCAGCCAGGCAUCUCCAGAAUCACUCUAGAUUUCAUGGUGGACAUGUUCAAUGAUGAGAUUCAAGAUGUGACAAUUUGAGCGAUUGAGUCCCUCAGAAAGAUGUCCGCUAAUGCGACUCUCCAGGAGGACCAACUCGAGAGAUUAUAACUCUCAAUUAUAACUCUCAAAGGUUCCAGUGCGAUUAGAAUCAAACUCAGGCAUCCCGAUCAACAUGUCCAGCUGUUUCUCCCUGGUCUGGAUGGAGGCGUGCAAUGUGGAAAUUUCUAUAGCUCUUGCUGCACCAUCAACAUUCGCCUGUACUCAUUCACCUAAUGACGAUCCUUGUAUUCUUGAACUUUGUAAACCCACCAAGGUGGCUAUUGCUCCUAAGCCUUUUAACAGGGCCAUUUAAAUUAGAUUGCAUUACUAAUUUUAAUUUAUUAAUAAUAUAUUAAUAAUCGGAAUAAAC